rnacentral:ncRNA from 1 species
AAUCUCUGGAGAAGCUCAUCGCGAAAUGCGUAUGAGUGCCGAAGGUGUAAGGUCACGGAUUGACCGAUCUCUCAGGCAAAAGGACAGGGUG